AUGAAGAACCUUCUCCUCCUGCUGGGUCUUAUUGCUUACAGCUCAGGAGUGGAUUCUCAGACUGUGGUGACCCAGGAACCAUCACUCUCUGUGUCUGCAGAAGAGACAGUCACAUUCACCUGUGACCUGAACUCUGGGUCUUGCUCUUUGAGUCACUAUCCCAGCCAGUAUCAGCAAACACCAGGACAAGCUCCACAUGUACUUAUCUACAGAACAAACAACUGCCCCUCUGGGGUUCCUGAUCGCUUCACAGACUCCAUCCUUGGAAACAAGUCAGUCCUCACCAUCAUGAGGGCUCAGACCGGAUGA